rnacentral:rRNA from 1 species
UACGUAGGGGGCAAGCGUUGUCCGGAAUCAUUGGGCGUAAAGAGCGUGUAGGCGGUCCGGUAAGUCGGCUGUGAAAGUCCAGGGCUCAACCCUGGGAUGCCGGUCGAUACUGCCGUGACUAGAGUCCAGUAGGGGAGCGUGGAAUUCCUGGUGUAGCGGUGAAAUGCGCAGAUAUCAGGAGGAACACCAGCGGCGAAGGCGGCGCUCUGGGCUGGAACUGACGCUGAGGAGCGAAAGCGUGGGGAGCGAACAGG